CCCCAGCCUCUGGUUGUCAUUAGCUGCUCCCGGGCGGGAGGUGGGUGCUGCAGCCAGCAAGGAUCCAGGCUCACGCGGGGCCACCUGGGCCUCAUUACUCUUAAGUGGUCGGGUCUGAGAGUGCCGGGGGGGGGGCCUGCCCCCACCACCUCUGGGCUAGCACCGUGGGGGCUUUGCCAGAGUGGAACUGAACUGGGUCCACCCCGGAGCCCAGAGGGCGGUGAAUGGGAGGCAGAGCCCAUCCUGGGAAUGGACCAGAAGAAAGGGAGCGGGGGUGGGGGAAGGGGCAUCAGAUCCUGGUCCUUCCUUGUCGCCUGCGGUCCCUCUGCCACCACUCCCCGAAGCUGAUCUGGAGCACACGCGUCGUUAAAGCCGCCAUCGAGGCCCCACUUCUGACAGACGGAAGGGGGCAGAGUGCCUUCCUCACCGGCCUCGCCCUGGGAAGGCCCUCCCUGCAGCCCAGGAAGCCAGCAGCAGGUGACAGAGCCAGGGGCCCAGGGCCCCAGGGACGGGCUCGCGCGCCCGAGCCGGGGGUCCCUUGGCGUCCCCAUCCUCUCGUCCUGGAGCCCUCCUGGGUGACCACAGGAAUGUGCAAGGCGGCAGCCGGGUGGCGGCCGGGAGGCGGGUGGGAGGCGGGCGGGGUGGCCUCUUCACGGGCGGGCCUGAGAGAUGGGCGCCCGUCCGGCCCUGGCGUCAUCGUCUCCGCGUCUCUACCCACUGAGCAAAGACACACGAAAUGAAGCUCGAACGAGCACAGCCAAAGAACGGCCGUUUCUGUCCUUUCUUCUUAAUCCCUUUGGCUUAGGGUUUCCCGGCCUGGACAGCCUGCCCAAGGGCACAUGGGCAUCCGUCCGGGGACAUUCAGGCAGUGACCAAUCCCAGGCCACCCAGGCUGCGCCCUGCGUCGUGGGCCAUUUCCCAGCCGGCCAGAGAUGGAGCAGCCACUGCGGGUCCCCGAGUCUCGGUGAGACAGUCAAGGAUGGACCUUGGAUGGAGACCGGCGUGCGGCCAUGUCCGUGGGUGAAGGAGGCGUGCAGGCCGUGCUGGGGGACAUGGUUGCUGUCCCCUCGGCCAAACCAUGAAAAGCAGCCCUCUCCCCCAACCCCCAGCACCAACCCGGAGACCACCCUCGGCCGGAGCCCAGCACGGCCACCGUCACGUCUCGGUCGUCCAGCUUGGGACAGGUCAGUUCCCAGACGUCCAGGCUGGAGCUGGUCCUUGAAGAUCCUAGGGGUCCAGCCCAGCACAGGAGGGCCAGCCCCCAAGGAGAAGAGGUGCUGAACUGGGUCCCCUGGAGGCUCCUGAGCCCCAGAACAGUGCCCUCUGAGCAGACGGGCACUCUCAGACCAGCUCACGCUGGACAAGUCAGCUCCUGCCUGCCGCCUGAUGGGCCCUUGGGAGAAGCAGACAUGGUGAGGAAAAGGCCCCUGUGCCCUUCACCCUAAUUCCCCAGCCCCAAGUCCCACUGGGUUGCCAGCUUCAACCUAAGCAAAUAAUUCGUGCCCUCUAAACAAACGCGCGGGAAUCCCACCUGCCCUUCCCCC
rnacentral:lncRNA from 1 species